CGGGGCGUAGCGCAGCUCGGUAGCGCGCUUGAAUGGGGUUCAAGAGGUCGGGCGUUCAAAUCGCCCCGCCCCGACCA
rnacentral:tRNA from 2 species